rnacentral:rRNA from 1 species
UACGGAGGGGGCUAGUGUUGUUCGGAAUUACUGGGCGUAAAGCGUACGUAGGCGGCUUUUUAAGUCAGAGGUGAAAGCCCGGGGCUCAACUCCGGAACUGCCUUUGAAACUGGAAAACUUGAAUCUUGGAGAGGUCAGUGGAAUUCCGAGUGUAGAGGUGAAAUUCGUAGAUAUUCGGAAGAACACCAGUGGCGAAGGCGACUGACUGGACAAGCAUUGACGCUGAGGUGCGAAAGCGUGGGGAGCAAACAGG